GACGAACGCUGGCGGCGUGCUUAACACAUGCAAGUCGAGCGGUAAGGCCCUUUCGGGGGUACACGAGCGGCGAACGGGUGAGUAACACGUGGGUGACCUGCCCUCAGCUCUGGGAUAAGCCUGGGAAACCGGGUCUAAUACCGGAUAUGACUCCAUGACGCAUGUUGUGGGGUGGAAAGCCUUGUGCGGCUGAGGAUGGGCCCGCGGCCUAUCAGCUUGCUGGUGGGGUGANGGCCUACCAAGGCGACGACGGGUAGCCGGCCUGAGAGGGCGACCGGCCACACUGGGACUGAGACACGGCCCAGACUCCUACGGGAGGCAGCAGUGGGGAAUCUUGCGCAAUGGGCG
rnacentral:rRNA from 1 species